UCCUCGAUGGUCUAACGGUUCAUGAUUUCCGCUUGUCAAAUCUCCAUGAUUUACGAGCGCGGGAGACCUGGGUUCGACUCCCAGUCGGGGAG
rnacentral:tRNA from 1 species